rnacentral:rRNA from 1 species
GACGUAGGGCGCGAGCGUUGUCCGGAUUUAUUGGGCGUAAAGAGCUCGUAGGCGGUUUGUCGCGUCUGCUGUGAAAACCCGAGGCUCAACCUCGGCCUGCAGUGGGUACGGGCAGACUAGAGUGCGGUAGGGGAGAAUGGAAUUCCUGGUGUAGCGGUGGAAUGCGCAGAAUAUCAGGAGGAACACCUGUGGUGUAGACAGCUUACUGGACCACUUCUGACGCUGAGACACGAAAGCGUGGGGAGCGAACAGG